AUAUUUGUACAUUAUUACAACUACAUAGUCAUGUCCCCAGCAAGAUGGCUAGGAUUUGUCCAUUAGUCUAAAUCUUUAAAGUAAUUUUCCGCAAAUUACGAGAUGUUUUAGACUAUUUAUGGAUGAAAUACUCUUAAUGUUACAAUGUUAAGAAUUUAUUUUUAUAUGCUUAUAUCUACAAGAAUGUCAAAAAGGAUAUUAAAUAUACGCACGUAUAUCCUGUGCUAUAAGUAAACCCAAGAGAAAAGAAAACAGAAAAGAAGAAAUGAUAGGAUAAAUCCUGAACAGAAGAGAUGAGUAGGAGAUGAUUAUAAAACUCAAAUACUUAAGCUGGCUUUACAUUUUACUUAUUUUUUUAUUAUUUUACGGUUUAAUCAAUUGUCAU